GGGAUGUUAUGGAAAGAACAAGGAUUUUUUUUUUACGUCAUCAGGAAAGAAAAUAGCUAAUGGAGAAGAGAUACGUUGUGGAGGACUGGCUUGAUGGCAGAGGUCAUGUGAAGAUUGAACAAAUAAAGGAAGCAGAACUAAGUGCAUAUCGCACACAGUUGAUGUGAGCCAAGUCCCGUACGAGAGUAAAAACAGCUAGAGCCAAGGACACAUUGUCCUUGGCUUCAAUGUGUUAUCAAUGAUUAGUCCUGGGAACUUGCGGGUGAUGUAAUGCAGAAGGCGUUGGGGUAAACAAAAUUGCUAUUACCAAUAAGGAGCUCAGCCUUUGCAAUAUGUAUGAGCCUGAUUAGUCCUGUGCUAUAUAAAGGAAGAUCACGCCUAAUAAAGAGGAAGUACGCUGAUCACUCAUAUUGAGCGUCUGGGUCUUCCCUCCGUCGGCUCCUCCCGUGCAAGUUUCCAACAAAUGGCGCCCGAACAGGGACCCUGCCGGUCAGGGACUCGGUGAUUAAAAACUCAGAAGUCGACGGAGUACUAGAGUCAGCUGGUCCUGCUGUGCUAAAGGCGACGAGACACAAAAGGGGGUCUACGUGCCAGAGUUACAGAGGAGGUGGAGAGGACACAAACAAAGGGGGUCCGUGCCCAGGACGAGAAGGGGUCCUGCCGGAAAGUCUCGCCGCAGGUCUUGCAAAGGUUGCAACGUUAUCUGAGGACACCCAUCUCAGGCUAUCAAUGUGAAAUAAGUUUUUCUCUAUGAUAUUAAUGGUCAGAAACCACUAAUAAAAGCAGUUUGAAAAAAAAAAAAAUUCGGGAAUAAAGGGGGAACCAACCCGACAGAUGUUGGAUUAUAUUUGGGGGACAAAUAUAUUGUUGCCGGGGGACAUACGCAGUAUAAUGAAGUUAAUACUAACACAGCAUCAGCAGCUGCUGUUUAACGCGCAUUGGCACACAGUAUGCCAGGAAGCGGUAGCUGUUAUAAGGGCUCCAGGGGACCCGUUGUAUGGAGUAACCUUAGAUGAGUUGAUGGGGAUAGGCGCGUAUUUCCGCUUAGAAGCGCAGGCCCUGCUGGGACCAGAUAAAGCUAAAGAAUCAAUGAAACUAGCAAGGCGGGCGCUUGAUCAAUUAAAGGAGCCAGGGGGUAUCCCAUCUUAUAUGGGAAUAAAGCAGGGCCGGGAAGAGCCUUUCGGCUUGUUUAUUGACAGAGUAGCCAAUGCUAUACAAGCAGCAGGGGUACCAGAUUAUCUGAAAGGGACUAUCUUGAAACAAUGUGCAAUACAGAAUAGUAGCCCUUCAACGCGUAGUAUUUUAGCCACACUCCCGGGAACAUGGACUAUUGAGGAGGGGCUAGAAAGAAUGGCGCAGGUACCUGUAGGACCGCAAGCUAUGCUAGUAGAGGCGGUGAAACAAUUAGGAGAGAGCAUGAGAGAGCAAGCACAGGCGUUGCGGGAUAAUAUGCAACAGAAUCAAAGACAGAUAUUCGCUGCCCUUGCUCCUUUGCAAAAUCCCGGCGGAAAUACCCCCCCCGAUCGACGAUCGGCACGCUGCUACCGAUGCGGCGUUGCGGCACGCUGCUACCGAUGCGGCGUUGUUGGUCAUCUUCGCAGAGAAUGCCAAGCUAGUAGAGUAUGGUGUCCCAACUGCAAAAGCAACAAACAUGAUGGAGCGGCUUGUUGGAAGGCUGGCUCGGGAAACGCCCGGAGAAACGGGACGAGCCGCCCCGCGACGACACAAAAGGCGGCAUUCACCACAACAACUCAGCAACCCCCGCAGUUAACACAACCACCUCAGCCGGCGCCCAGCUCCACUCCGAACGGCAUGAACCCCUUUGUCUUCGACCAGCCACCAGAGGGAGUCUCGGACUGGACUUGGCAACAGCAGUAGACGCCACCUUAUUGGAUGCAAAGCCAACAAGAAUCCGGACGAAUGUCUACGGACCAGUAAUUAUUAAUCAUGAGCCAGUAGGUGCCUUACUGAUUGGAAGAUCGUCCGCUACAAUGAAAGGAUUACAAGUUUUGACAGGAUUGAUCGACAAGGACUAUUUCGGGGAAAUACAAAUUGUGGUUUCAGCAAUGUUUCCACCUAUGCACAUACCACAAGGAUCGAGAAUAGCCCAGCUUAUUCCGCUUCCCCACCUGACUGUAGGGGUAGCACCAGCGAAAGAGCAACCACGAGGCUAUGGUGCUUUUGGUUCCACUGCAAGUGUAGUAUUACUGACUGUCGGAAUGCAUCAAAGGCCCCGACAAACUGUGACUGUAAAGUAUAAAAAAGAAUCUAUACGCCUUAAUGCCUUAUUGGACACUGGAGCGGAUGUAUCAAUAAUUAGCACUAAGAUCUGGCCCCAGCAUUGGCCAACCCGAGAGACCAGCUCUACGGUAGCUGGAGUAGGCGGGGUCACCCUCGCCCGAAAAUCAUCGACGCUACAAUGGACUAUAGGGAACAAGGUGGUUAAUUGCUCCGUCUCCAUUUUACCCCUACCUGAAGGAGUGCAAGCAUUAAUAGGGCGCGAUAUCCUUGCCCAGAUGGGUAUGGUGCUUACCUCGGAACACCCUUUAUAGCACCGGCCAUUGCCUGGACUUUCCCAAUCCCACUCAGCUGGAGGACUGAUCAGCCUGUGUGGGUAGAGCAAUGGCCGCUUAAACGGGAAAGUCUCAUUCAAGCACAUGAACUAGUAAAGGAACAGUACAAACAAGGUCAUCUAAGACUACCUACCAGCCCUUGGAAUACCCCAAUAUUUGUGAUCAAGAAAAAAUCCGGCAAAUACAGACUUUUACACGAUCUACGUGCUGUAAACAGACAGAUGCAUGACAUGGGUGCUUUACAACCGGGGUUACCCAACCCAGCAAUGAUCCCAGAAGGCUGGCACCUGCUAAUCGUAGAUUUAAAGGACUGUUUCUUUACCAUAGCCCUCCAUGAAGAUGAUAAACAGCGAUUUGCAUUUACACUCCCUGCUAUCAAUAGAGAGGGGCCAGACCAAAGAUUUGAAUGGACAGUACUACCGCAGGGUAUGCGAAACUCACCAACCCUCUGUCAACUCUAUGUCGAUGCGGCACUUCAACCGUUACGUCAACAGUGGCCAGAGACCAUGAUAUAUCACUACAUGGACGACAUAUUGUUGGCACAAAAAACCCCCUUUUCUCCUGAACAAAAAUUUGAUCUAAUCACACAAUUAAAGAAAAAGGAACUUGUGGUGGCCCCGGAAAAGGUACAGGAAUCCAGCCCCUGGCAGUAUCUAGGUUGGCAUAUUUCGAAUGCCACCAUCAGACCACAGAAAUUGACAAUCAGGACUGACAUAAGAACACUCAAUGAUGCUCAAAAACUAUUAGGAGACCUUCAACGGAUCCGUCCGGUUGUCGGCAUUCCUAAUGAACUUUUAAAUCUGCUACGCCCCUGCUGAAGGGAACAGACCCAGCGGCUGCCGUCACGCUCACAGAGGAACAGCAACGGGUACUCCAGGAAAUUGCAUCGCUAAUUACUACGCGUGCUACGCACCGACGCCUGGAAAAUCAGCCACUUGAUCUUACUAUUUUAUGUGGCCCACAAUACCUAAUGGGAGCCAUUACACAACACAAAAUAAAAACGGGGGAAAAAAGAGGGUUGGCGGAACCCAUUGUACUAGAAUGGAUAGCACCACCGUUACAACCAAAACGAACUAUUCAAGAAAAAAUUUCAACGCUGGCCGAACUCAUUAGGAAAGGAAGAAACCGAAUAUUACAAAUUGAGGGAGCACCACCGAAUACCAUUUGGCUGCCAUUGAAACCCAACGACCUAGAAUGGUCAGGCGGUUGUUGAACGAGCAAACAGCACUGUCAAACAAUAUAUAGAAAAGUUUAAGGACAUCCUAGACAUCAAGGAAAAAAUUGAUAAGACCCUAUUCGUACUAAACUAUUUGUGUGUAUUCAGGGACGACAAAGAACCACCAGCAAUCAAACAUCAUAUAGAAGAAGAAAAGGCUGGUAGCCGGACCUUUAGAGUAAAAUACCGGGACAUGAAAACGGGAGUAUGGAUAGGUCCAGCAGAGGUAAUAUAUGUAGGGCGCGGUUAUGUGUGUAUAUCUUCUCCCACAGGACCGGUUUGGGUUCCCAGCAGAUUUACGAAACCUGUGAUAGACGAAGGAGCGACUGUGGACAAAGACCAUGCUCGGAAUCGGACAGACAACUCUGCGCAAAAUUGUCCUAUUGAUUCUGAUAAUUGCUGAAGGGUCUACGAUGUUGUCUCAGAUUGAUACUCAACAGAAUAUGUGGGUUACAUGGGCUAACGAAACUAACCAGCGCACCUUUUGUUUGUCUCUAGCCUCAGGAAGCGAUCCCUUCCGGACGUGUCUAUUUGGGGUGCCUAUAGGAGCUCCAAAGGAAUUGGUCAAGCUGUUAGGCCCAUACUCAACUUCACUCACUCUCUUAAAUGGGUCCUUCUCGAGCAACCUCUCAGACGGAGUGGUUGCUGCACUGCAACAUCUUAAUAUAUCGUUGCCAUGGGAUCCACAAGAAUUAGAUUUGUUAGGGUCAGUAGCAGUAGGAAACACUAGUGAUAAUUGGACACAAACCUGUUUUAUACUAAAUAAAGGUAAACAAAAUAAGACUCAUUGGACGAACAUAACGUCUAGAACUUUAGGGUUUAACGCCAAUGGUAAUUAUUGUGGGUGGAAUAACUCCAAUAAUAGUGAGCCACUUGGGGCCUAUGGAGUAAAUGAUCACAACUCAAUGUGGCCUAUGAGUGCCUCUAAGGCACUGCCUCCUGGUAUUUUUCUAAUUUGUGGUGACAGAGCAUGGCAAGGUGUGCCAGGAAACGCUUAUGGGGGACCUUGUUAUAUAGGACGCCUGACACUCUUUGCCCUUGACUUACAUGAUCAGCGUUGGUCAAAUCUGACUGCAGCAAUCAGACAUAGAAGAAGUGAGAAUCGUCGAGGCAAGCGUGAAUUGAAAAAACUAGGUUCAGAUUGUGCUGAUGAUGUAGAAUUAUGGGGGCCUGCGGAAAGGUUUUUCGCCGCAGCUUUAGCUCCUAACGUUGCAGUUGCGCAUGCCAUGUCUAAUCUAAAUAAACUUGCUUGUUGGGCUGUUAAGCAAUCAAAUGUUACUACACAAAUUCUCUCUGAAAUGUCACAGGAUAUGGAUAGCCUGAGACAUGCAGUGUUGCAAAAUAGAGCAGCUAUAGACUUUCUGCUUUUGGCACAGGGACGCGGGUGUGAGGAUUUUGAAGGAAUGUGUUGUUUUAAUUUUUCUGAUCAUGGACAGUCAAUCCAUGAGCAAUUGAAAUGGCUAAAGGACCACACCCAGAGAAUCACCGUACAGUAUAAUUGGUUUGAUGAUCUGUUUAGAAAGAUGUUUGGUAAUGUGAGUACCUGGAUUUUGGGCUUGAUCAAAGAAGGGCUACGUAUUCUAUUCAUAAUUGUAUUAAUUUUAAUUGCUGUAAGAGUGAUUUUUGGCUGCUUAACACAAAAGCUUGAACAAUUAACUAAAAAAGUCUUUCUCGCACAAAAUAAAAACGGGGGAAUUGUGGAGGACUGGCUUGAGGGCAGAGGUCAUGUGAAGAUUGAACAAAUAAAGGAAGCAGAACUAAGUACAUAUCGCACACAGUUGAUGUGAGCCAAGUCCCGUACGAGAGUAAAAACAGCUAGAGCCAAGGACACAUUGUCCUUGGCUUCAAUGUGUUAUCAAUGAUUAGUCCUGGGAACUUGCGGGUGAUGUAAUGCAGAAGGCGUUGGGGUAAACAAAAUUGCUAUUACCAAUAAGGAGCUCAGCCUUUGCAAUAUGUAUGAGCCUGAUUAGUCCUGUGCUAUAUAAAGGAAGAUCACGCCUAAUAAAGAGGAAGUACGCUGAUCACUCA